rfam:Salmo salar isolate Sally breed double haploid chromosome ssa12, whole genome shotgun sequence.
AAUGCACCAAUUUGUAAGUCGCUCUGGAUAACAGCGUCUGCUAAAUGACUUAAA